GGGGAUAUGGCGAAAUUGGUAGACGCUACGGACUUGAAAAUCC
rnacentral:tRNA from 1 species